GGAUAGACUUUUCUCGUUACGUUACAUGUGUUGGUGGGAGCUAGUAUGUACAAGUGGAAUCAGUUGAGGUAUGUGCGAGCUGGUUCAAACACAAGUGUUAAUAAAACAAGCAAAAAAAGAAUCCGAAAUUGGUUGGAUUUACACUAUGUUGUAAAAGUUGGUUUCUUUAUGUAUCAAUUGAGCUAAAGUUUAGUUGGAUUGUUAUUGCAAAUGGUGAG
rnacentral:misc_RNA from 1 species